GGAGGGAUGGGUGAGCGGUUGAAACCGGCGGUCUUGAAAACCGCUGUACCGGAAACGGUACCGGGGGUUCGAAUCCCUCUCCCUCCGCCA
rnacentral:tRNA from 1 species